AUUGAACUGACUAGUCCCAAAUAGAACGAAACGCGUGUCCUGGAU
rnacentral:hammerhead_ribozyme from 1 species